ensembl:lncRNA
CUUGGCGCUGAGAGGAAGUGCAGACGACGCAUGUAGUUUGACUGACGAACGGCGGAAAAAUAAAUAUGGAAAACGUGGAGGAGUUAAGGAGAGUGUUCAACAAGAACUUUUAGCAAUUGCUCAGUAUGUGGAAGAAAAUGUUCAGCCGGACUACAUUCUGAGGAUGGUAGAAGAUGUCAGCAAAAGUCAUGGGCAAAUAUCUGCUCUGACCGAUACAGACAUUGAUCCGGUUGUGUGGCACACUCUUGAAGAGGUACGCAUGCAACUAAGUCUUGCAGCCAGGCCAUCAGACCUGGGCGACGUCCACUGGAAGUCCAGGUGGACAUAAUGGAGUCCUACAUUCUUGCAGGAUUAUCAGCUGUCAAAAUAGCUGAACUGUUUGGAGUGUCAGUUAGAACCAUAAGAAGGAGAAUGGCAUCCCAUGGCUUGAGAUGCCGAAUCGUGAUCCAUGCAGGAGUGGAUGGAUUUAGCAGGCUCAUAGUUUAUAUAGGAGCAGCUACAAACAACAAAUCCACCACUGUUCUGGACAGUUUCAGGUCAGCUGUUGCUCAGUAUGGCUUACCAUCUCGUGUAAGAUCUGAUAAGAAUUGAAAGAUUAUGGAGAGACGUGUAUGGAAAUGUCCUCGACUUGUUCCAUACACUAUUUCUCAAUUUGGAAUUGGAAGGGUUUCUAAACCCUGACAAUGAACUGGAGUUAUUCGCUCUCCACUGGAUCUACGUCCCACAGCUGCAGCAGCAUCUUCAGGCAUUCAAGGAAGCCUGGAAUCACCAUAGUUUGAGGACAGAGAGAGGGCAAUCCCCCAUGCAACUGUGGCUUAGUCAGCCACGGGAGGGAAAUGCUGCUGAUCCAGUUGAGGUUGCUGCUGAUUAUGGAAUAGACUGGACAGGACCUCACACCCCAUACCCAGAGGGUGUCACUGUACCUGAUGCACAACUACCCCAGCAGCUUACCCAAGCUGAAGUUACGUCAUUGUCUGAUCCGGCAGUCCCUUUUUCUGCUGCACUACGGGCGUACAUGGAUACAGUGUAUAUUCUUAAGGACAUUUUUCAACAAACCUAGGCCUAUCACAACUCACCUUAACAUGAUCAGAAUGAAACCGUUUGAAAUGGUCGAACAAGACUUGAAAGAAUGCUGCAAAUUUUUGGUGCAUAAUUUUAUGACCAGUUGUGAAUUUCAAAUAAAUGCCUGUGAAAACAAAAAUGUAAAAAAACAAGACACAACAAAGGGAUACAAAACUGCUUUUAUUGCAUGCUGAAUAAUUUGACAGCUUUUAAAAGCAUUAAAACAAUGUGCAAAUAAAAAUUUUUUUUAAUAGAACUGAUAAUUCUUUUCUUUAACUUCCACACAUUUAUAUUACAACUGUUUCCCAAACACAGUCUUCUCCAAGUGUGGAAACAUUUUGUUGUCACAGUUCAGAAAUGCACAAACCUGAACCAUAGUU